AUGCCAAACCCUAAGCGCCCCGCCGUCACCGCCGACGACCCCGACCCUAAGCGCCGCGCCCUCCACGACCCCGUCCCUGAGCGCCGCGCCGGCGAGGACCCCGACUCUGAGCGCCGCGCCGGCGACGACCCCGACCCUGAGCGCCGCCGCGGCGACGACCCCGACCCCGACCCUAAGCGCCGCCGCGGCGACGCCCCCGACGGCGCAAGCCCUAAUCGCCUCCCCGACGGCGCAAGCCCUAAUCGCCUCCCCGACGGCGGCGACCCUUCUGGCCAAAGAACAGCUAUGGCGUAUGGCGGCGGGGCAGAAGGCUGGAGCACGGAAGAUAAGGUCGAGAAAGUGUAUGCCCAGAAGGAGGUGGCCAUGGACAUCACGGAGCGUAAGGAGCAGAUUGAGACAAUCUGUCUGCAGAUGCAGGAGACGGCAUCGUUCUUGACGAAGAUCAACGCAUCUCAGCCCGCACUCCUGAUGGAGAGGGAAGAUAUCCCAAACCAGAUUUCAGCUCUGUGUGAUAACUUGUCCAAGUUCAGAACAGUACUUGUUGAGAUCGGAUUCGAUGCCGCGGGCAGCAAAUCAUCUAUGAAGAAGAAGGACCUUGUGGGUAUUUAUGCCGCCAACCGCAUGCGCGAGAUGCAAGAGGAAAUCUCCAAGAAAGAGAAGAUCCGGAUCCGCGACCAGCUGCAGCUCAUCCCUCUCCAAGAGCCCGAGGAGUACAUGCAUGAGUAUUACAGGCUUCAUCCUCAUCAGGAGGAGGAGACGAAGCUGACGAGAUCUCUUAAGAAGCAGAUUGCAGAGGAGGAGAGCCUCUAUGCUACCUACCGUAGAGGCAGGAAGGGUUUAUUGGCUGGCUCUACCUUCGAAGCUGAAAGCAUGAUAAGUCCUAUGCAUUUUACUUUCUGCCCGCCUGGAGUAGCCUCUGAAGAUGACGUUGCAGUUACCACCGGGACCAGCUUGGAGAUCUUCUCCAUCAAGAUUGCCCAGAUCAAAGGCGACUUAAAUUGGCCUCUUUACGUGUAUGGUGUGGUCGCUGCCAGAGACAGAGUGGAUUUCAACCGCAACAUUCUCUUCAAUCGAAUGAGGAAUAAUGCCCAGAAAGUCACAGAAGCUGAUCCUUUUUUGUGCUUGACUGGUCCAGCUCGGGCAAUUUUGCCUGAGGUCGAGUUUGAAGUCGAACUCAUGGUUAAGGGCAGAACAAAGUCUUGCGACAGAGCAUUGAUAUAUCAAGCAUACCCCUACAUUCAUUCCUGUGCUGACCUCUAUAGUAUUGGCUUACACAACUGCCUAUGUGAAAUCAAGUUAAGCCUGCAGCAGCUUGUGAAUUCAGUUCAGGCUACAAUCAUAGCUGUCCAGAUCGUUAAUGCUGGCACAUGCACAUUCAAAUAUGGGGGCCGCGUUGCUUGCUCGUUGAAAUCUAAUGAAGCUAUUGUCUGUGAUAGUAAAGGCUUUUUGAUGGAAGAUCCCCCAGGAGCGGGAGCUACAUGGACCGGGCUGCCCUUUAUUGAUCCCCCAGGCACACAAGUUGUGUUGCUUGAUUCUCGUUAUUGCGAUGAUGGAGAAAUGCCAAUGAGCACUGAUGGUUACCUUGAUCUAAUGAGGCGUGUUGUUUCCGUGGAGUUACCGGUAGAUCAUUUUUAUUAUCCAGAAAAGUUAGAAGAGACCUUAAAAGUUCAGGUAGAAGCCUAUUCAGAGUCUGGUGUUGUUUCUGCAAAAGGUCAUGUCAAGUUCACCCCCAAGCUUUGCAACAUAAGUAAAGCUGUAUGUGACAUUGGGGACUCCAAGGUGGAGAUCACCGUUGCUUGGUCGGUCCAUGUUGUAUGCAAGACCUAA
rnacentral:rRNA from 1 species